rnacentral:rRNA from 1 species
GAGUUUGAUCCUGGCUCAGGACGAACGCUGGCGGCGUGCCUAACACAUGCAAGUCGAACGGAGAUUUUAGCAAUGAAGUCUUAGUGGCGAACGGGUGAGUAACGCGUAGACAACCUACCUUCUAGAUGGGGACAACACUGCGAAAGUGGUGCUAAUACCGAAUGUUGUAUCGAAGCUGCAUAGCUUUGCUACGAAAGGUGGCCUCUAUUCAUAAGCUACCACUAGAAGAUGGGUCUGCGUCUGAUUAGCUAGUUGGUGAGGUAAUGGCUCACCAAGGCGACGAUCAGUAGCCGGUCUGAGAGGAUGAACGGCCACAUUGGGACUGAGACAC